rnacentral:rRNA from 1 species
AACGAACGCUGGCGGCAGGCUUAACACAUGCAAGUCGAGCGCCCCGCCAGGGGAGCGGCAGGCGGGUGAGUAACGCGUGGGAACGUACCCUUAUCUUCGGGCUAGCUCCGGGAAACUGGAAUUAAUACCGAAUGUGCCCUUUGGGGGGAUGAUUCAUCGGAUGAGGAUGGGCCCGCGGUGGAUUAGCUUGUGGGUGGGGUAGAGGCCUACCAAGGCGGCGACGCAUAGCCGGUCUGAGAGGGUGAUCGGCCACAUUGGGACUGAGAUACGGCCCAGACUCCUACGGGAGGCAGCAGUGGGGAAUAUGGCACAAUGGGCGGAAGCCUGAUGCAGCAACGCCGUGUGCGGGAUGACGGACGUCGGGUUGUAAACCGCUUUCGCCUGUGACGAAGCGUGAGUGACGGUAAUGUGGAAAGAAGCACCGGCUAACUACGUG